CCUACGGGAGGCAGCAGGGAGGAAUAUUGGUCAAUGGACGAGAGUCUGAACCAGCCAAGUAGCGUGAAGGAUGACUGCCCUAUGGGUUGUAAACUUCUUUUAUAUGGGAAUAAAACGUUCCACGUGUGGGAUUUUGUAUGUACCAUAUGAAUAAGGAUCGGCUAACUCCGUGCCAGCAGCCGCGGUAAUACGGAGGAUCCGAGGGUUAUCCGGAGUUAUUGGGUUUAAAGGGAGCGUAGGUGGAUUGUUAAGUCAGUUGUGAAAGUUUGCGGCUCAACCGUAAAAUUGCAGUUGAAACUGGCAGUCUUGAGUACAGUAGAGGUGGGCGGAAUUCGUGGUGUAGCGGUGAAAUGCUUAGAUAUCACGAAGAACUCCGAUUGCGAAGGCAGUUCACUGGACUGCAACUGACACUGAGGCUCGAAAGUGUGGGUAUCAAACAGGAUUAGAUACCCUUGUAGUC
rnacentral:rRNA from 1 species